rnacentral:lncRNA from 10 species
GUCUGUCACCCAGGCUGGAAAGGAUCCUCUCACCUCAUCCUCCCGAAUAGCUAAGACUACAGACAGGCAUCCUUCACCAAGCCAUACCAUCAGAUUGCUUCUUCCAUCCUCAACACCCAGAGUUUUUCAUGGAGUCCACCUUUAUUAAAAUUUCCCAACCAACCCUGGAGCUUUCUAAUACUGUCAACAAAAGAAAACUAGUCAUGGUAGUCCUAGGAAGAGUUUGUACAUUUUGCGCCUGGCUUUAGGUGUGUAAAACUCCCAUCUUUGCCUUCAAACUCAAAGGAGUCACUCAAAUGAUGGACAUUUCCAUUCAAGCCUGAGGGAAGGAUUUUGUUAAGAAAAUACUGUAUAAGUCUGUACAUUUCCAUCUAUUAAAAACAGGGUAUGGAUCGGUGGCAGAGACAAAGCUGUGUGCUCACUAAACCCAUUUCACGCUCUUCCUGGGAACAUAGCAAAGCCACUCUUCCCAGUCUCCCUGUGCAGUCACUGGGGCCUUGUUAUGAGUUCCAGCCAACUUAACGCAUAACACUCUCAGGUCUAGACCUAAAGCUCCCAGAGUCAUCCUGUCCUCUCUCAGCUACCAUCUUCCACCUGGAUAAUAUGCAAGCUUGGAGACAAGAAUGCUCCGGGCAACCUCCAGAGACAAGUACUGAAAAUGGCAGAAGCACUGUUUGGAAGGAGCCUGGAUCCUGAAGGUCUGCAGAGUGCAUACUCUCCACCUUUACUGACCAUAUCACUUUGUCACAUAUGGGAGAAAGUCACUUUGACUGUGGUUAAGCCACUGAGAUGUAGUGGUUGCUUUUUUACAGAAGCUAGCUGUGUUUACCUUGAAUACUAUAGGUAUUGAUUUUCCUGAUAGGACUAAUAUAAGGAUUAAUUUAUUUGUUCGCUUUUUAAUUUAUUCAACAAGUAUCGUUUCAAAUCCACUACACAAGAGUCAGGCUGCUAGACACCAGUUCAUGAAGUAGAGUCAACUGUGAUUCAGAGCUUGGACUUUGGAAUCAAAAUAGGGGUUCGGAUCCUGCCUCUGUCACUUACCAGCUAUGUAACUUUGAACAUGUUACUUAAUUUCUCUGUGCUUCAGUUUUUUCACCUGUAAAAUAGGGGUAAUAACACUAUCUACCUCAUGGGGUUGUUGUCCUAAGAAUUAAAU